GAUGAAGAACGCAGCGAAAAGCGAUACUUGGUGUGAAUUGCAGAAUCCCGUGAACCAUCGAGUCUUUGAACGCAAGUUGCGCCCGAAGCCACUAGGCCGAGGGCACGCCUGCCUGGGCGUCACACGUCGUUGCCCCCCCCCAUCUACUCCUUCGGGAUUGCGGGGGGCGGAUGAUGGCCUCCCGUGCGCCUAGCCGCGCGGUUGGCAUAAAUACCAAGUCCUCGGCGACGCACGCCACGACAAUCGGUGGUUGCGAAACCUCGGUUGCCCGUCGUGUGCGUUCGUCGCGCAUCGAGGGCUCGAAAAAAUGCUCGGCUCCGGCUCGGCUUUCAACGCGACCCCAGGUCAGGCGGGGUUACCCGCUGAAUUUAAGCAUAUCAAUAAGCGGAGGA
rnacentral:misc_RNA from 1 species